GGGCCUGUAGCUCAGCGGUUAGAGCAGCCGGCUCAUAACCGGUCGGUCGCAGGUUCGAAUCCUGCCAGGCCCA
rnacentral:tRNA from 1 species